GAAGUUCUGCUUUCUGUUCCCUGAUCAGGGACCAGAGAGGGGCAAAAUCUUCCUUUGAUCCUAACUCCCUAUUUUUUAUUUUUCCUCUCUCUUGAUCCCCUUGUCUACUUUUCAGAUUUAGCCUCACCUUGUAAGUGCUUCCUUUCUGAGGUGUAGGUAAGAAAGAUUGAGAUUCCAUCCGCACGAGACAAACCCAGCAGUUCGGAGCAGUCAAGACAGGUUGGAGGAACAAAGGAAGGAGGUCAUGUUACCAGUUUCUAAGGCUUGGGGUCAUCUGGAAGAAGCUGGAAUCACAGUACAGGUGGAAUGGAAGUGCAAUGGAAGAAGUGGAACCACAGUGAAGCAUGUUCCAGAAGGCCAGGGCGGUCGGUUCUGCUGCACAAAUGAGGUCAGAGCAAUCAAGAGAGCCAAGGAAGUCCUACUUAUCUGGAUUAAAUAACUCAAUCUACAAACUACUCAACUUUAAUAUAAGGUGGAAAAUAGGAUUUCAAAAGAAAAGAAGAAGGAGAAGAACAAGGACAAGAAACUGAGUUUUGGCAGAAGGCAAGUGAGCAAUUAAAAAUAAAUCUUUCAUGAUUUGCUCCCACAGGCAAAAAAUAUAA
rnacentral:lncRNA from 1 species